GGUAGCCUAGUGGUUAGAGAAUCCGCCUCGGAUGCGGAAUGUGGGUUCGAACCCCGGCUUAGUCA